rnacentral:rRNA from 1 species
GACGAACGCUGGCGGCGUGCUUAACACAUGCAAGUCGAACGGACAGGCCCUGCUUUUGUGUGGUUCUCGAUUGGCGAACGGGUGAGUAACACGUGAGUAACCUGCCCUUGACUUUGGGAUAACUUCAGGAAACUGGGGCUAAUAUCGCAUAGGAUCUCCUGCUGCAUGGUGGGGGUUGGUAAGUUUCGGCGGUUGGGGAUGGACUCGCGGCUUAUCAGCUUGUUGGUGGGGUAGUGGCUUACCAAGGCUGUGACGGGUAGCCGGCCUGAGAGGGUGACCGGCCACAAUGGGACUGAGAGAGGGCCCAGACUCCUACGGGAGGCAGUAGUGGGGAAUAUUACACAAUGGGCGGAAGCCUGAUGCAGCAACGCCGCGUGCGGGAUGACGGCCUUCGGGUUGUAAACCGCUUUCGCCUGUGACGAAGCGUGAGUGACGGUAAUGAGUAAAGAAGCACCGGCUAACUACGUG